rnacentral:sRNA from 1 species
CAUCCAGGGCCCUUGGCUGUGAUGUGACGUGUGCAGGAGGUUGUCAAGUGGCCUCAGAGCCCAGAGUCUGUGGCUCCGGGAUGGCAGCUCUCCCCCUCUUCUUCCUGCCCACCCCCAGGGCUUGUCUGCUCUCCUUAUCUGCCCUGCUGAUUCUCUGACCAUAUAUGUCAGUUUUGGGGCUCCAGGAAUGCAGCUGGACAUGGAGCAGCCUCUUCCCUGGGGUUAGACUGAAUAGGUUGAACUAAAAACUGCCCUCCCUCAUGCAGGGAGCUUGUGGUAGGAGGAGGAGUUACUGCCCAUUAGGGCUGAGGGCAGAGAUGCCUACCCCCAGGCUGCAUGCGGCUGCAGCCUUCUGGCCAGAUUCCAGACCUGCAGAAACCCAGCUUGGUGGUCGACUCUGCCUUGUGCCUGCUGGAGCUGCUGUUCUGCUGGUCACCUCAUCUCAGCACCCCAGACAUCACGAGCAUCCCCCUUUCCCAUCUGCACCCUCCAGUCCUUAGGGCCGUCAACCUUUCCACCUUGAAACUGGUGUCAGGAGCGCCCUGCAGAGUUUCUCUUAAGGUUCUGCAGGGCAAGGCUGUCGGGGACAGGCUUGGCCAUGGAUCCGCUCUCAGAGCUGCAGGAUGAUCUGACCUUGGAUGACACCAGUGAGGCUCUGAACCAGCUGAAGCUGGCCUCCAUCGAUGAGAAGAACUGGCCCUCGGAUGAAAUGCCUGACUUCCCCAAGUCAGAUGACUCCAAAAGCAGCUCCCCGGAACCUGUCACACACCUGAAGUGGGAUGACCCAUACUAUGACAUCGCCCGGCACCAGAUCGUGGAGGUGGCAGGAGAUGACAAGUAUGGGCGGAAGAUCAUUGUGUUUAGUGCCUGUCGAAUGCCCCCCAGCCACCAGCUCGACCACAGCAAGCUCCUGGGGUGAGUACCUGCCGGGAAGUGCGUUGGGGCUUUGCCCAGAUCCCCAUUGUAGCCUAAUGCCACGUUCUUUACUGUCCCUCCCUGCCUGUGGGUGCUAGGCCACCUGCCUUAAUGCCUCCCCUCUUCUCAUGAAGGAGCUGGUUAUAUUUAGGGGAGAGCACUGGAUGAGGAGUCAGACCUAGUUUCUAGUUAUUGAAGCUGGGUGACCUUGGUAAGCGUCUUUAAGCCUCGCUUUCCUCACCUUUCAAAAGGGAUCAUAAUAUAGGCCUCUUUCCUUGUAGGAGUGAGAAACAGCACAUGAAAAGGAAGGACUUUUGUCCAGAUGUGAGGAUUGACUGUUACAAUCCUAUGGUGUUUCUGAGAUGGUUGCAGUUGUUUAUUGUUUAUAGGACUCAUUAGUGUUGUCUUAUUUUGUGCCUUUGGUGUCAGUGGUUUCUGUACCGAUGUGGGUUCUGGGAGCCAAACAUAUGUAAUAGCUCUGGCUGGUCCAGACACGUCCUGAUUCAUGUCUGAAGGCUGGUUGAAUGCUGAGGCUUGAAAGACCCAUUUAUGGUUGAGCCAGCUCUGGGCCCAUAGGCGAGCAAACUCACUUCCUGCCACUGUCCUCGGGGUGUGUAGUAGAGUGAGACCAUCUUGCCCUUCUUUCUGUUUUCUUGGCAAAUUUUAGAAAGAUGCACUUCUUUCCUGACCAGUUUGAAGCACUCUCUGAAAUGUAAAAUCCUGGCACUGUCCCAAGCAGCUCUUUGAGAUCCUGAAUGGUUGCAUGCGAGCAGGAGGAGGUGUGGGCUUAGGGACAGACUCAGAGGGCAGCUGCAGAAGGAGAAGGGCCUGAAUUUGGAGUCUCAGCCAGUCCUGGCAAGCCAGGGCCACAGACUGAGUCUUCCAGCGCCAUCUAGGAGUUCUAUCUCUCUGGCCUUCUGAACCCUCUUCCCACUGCUCUUUACACAAGGCAGGCAGAGCCUUGUCCAAGCCCGCUGCGCGGCCCCGCCAAAAUGGGCAAGAGCUUGGCCUGGGGCUGGUGGAGGCACAUGGCCUUUUCUCUAGUUCUUUCUGUGUCUGAUGUACCAGGUGACAGCCUCCUGCCCAUAUAAUAAGUGAAGUGGGAGGAAGUCGGUGGAUGGGGGUGGAAAGCACCUGGUUUUCAGGAGACAGCUUGCUGGGGAAGGCCACACCCACCGCGGGGCGUCCUUGGCUUCAGGAAGUCCUCGACAUCAGCUGCUGCUUGUCCUCCAUCACUUCCGUCCUGGUCACAGUCCCUGCUGAGGGCAGCGGGGUGCUUCCAUCAUGGAGCACUUUGUCCCAUUUUCAGUCAGAUUAUCUCAGAUGUGGCUCUUGCCAGCUUCCCACCCAGAUCCGGGAGGUUGAAAUACAAAGUGCCUGAGCGCCACUGCACUCCAGCCUGGGCGACAGAGCGAGACUCUC